UACUAUACUAAAUUUUAAGGUAAAACUUGAAUAUUAUAAGAUAUAAUCUUUAAAUUCAAAGAAUUUGGCGGUAAUUUAGUCUUUCCAGAGGAACCUGUUUUUUGAUCGAUAAACCACGAAGAAUCUUACUUAUUCUAUUUAAUUGUUUGUAUACCGUCAUUAUCAGAUAAUAUUUAGAGAUAAAAUUAUUAGAUUUUUAAUAAAAAUUAAAAUUAGAUCAAGGUGCAGCUUAUGAAUAAGUUAAAAUGGGUUACAAUUAAGUAAAUAUAAUAUGAAGUAAGAUUUGAAAACAAUCUUAUGAAGGAGGAUUUGGUUGUAAUAGAAA
rnacentral:rRNA from 1 species